GACGAACGCUGGCGGCGUGCUUAACACAUGCAAGUCGAACGGAAAGGCCCUGCUUUUGUGGGGUGCUCGAGUGGCGAACGGGUGAGUAACACGUGAGUAACCUGCCCUUGACUUUGGGAUAACUUCAGGAAACUGGGGCUAAUACCGGAUAGGAGCUCCUGCUGCAUGGUGGGGGUUGGAAAGUUUCGGCGGUUGGGGAUGGACUCGCGGCUUAUCAGCUUGUUGGUGGGGUAGUGGCUUACCAAGGCUUUGACGGGUAGCCGGCCUGAGAGGGUGACCGGCGACAUCGGGACUGGGGUACGGCCCGGCCUGCAACGGUGGGCGGCGGGGGGGGUUGUUGCCCCAGGGGCGGAGGCCUGAUGCGGCACCCGCGUGUGAGGGAUGGGGGCCUGGGGGUUGUAAACGGCUGUCGCCUGUAAAGUAGCGUGAGUGACGGUAAUGGGUAAAGAAGCGCCCGCUCACUACGUG
rnacentral:rRNA from 1 species